CCAAACCUUCCAGGAGUAUUGAAUCAGGAACAGUGAAUACAUUAGCUUUCAUUCAUUCAUCAUUUUUGUGUUUAUAACAUAUCAAUUAGAAACAAAAUUCUAUGAGGAACCCUAAUAACCCCAACCCCAACCCUAUCAUCAUCUUUUGAAUUUUCCUAAAUCGAUGAUGCUAUUUACGGUUCCUUCUCUACUCGUGCUGAAUCAUUCCCUCUCUCUUCGCGCUCCUCUAUACAACAACCUCUCUACUCGCGGUUCGUGGUGUGUGUUCUUUCAAUUGAUGACUCCGUUGUUGAAUCUCCGAUGCCAGUGGGUGAAAGAGCUCAACGGCGAGUCCGAUUUAGAAGCGUAGUCUCACCGGACAGUUACAUCUCCAUAUGCGGCUUCAGUUUUCUUCUCUCCGAGAAAAUGUGAUGCUGUUUACACGCACACUUACACUCCUUUUUCCGCCGUGUCUUGACGGUUGUGGUUAAUUUCUUCUUCACUCACAGCAUUGUCAAUCUCAAAACUGAGGUCCUUGUUACUUACAGAUUUCUGGUUAUAUUUAAAUUGAAAUUCAGUAAAACUUAUGCAUAGUAGUAUGAUUAACGAAAAAGAGAGGAUAAUAAAAACCAGAGGUGCUGGCUCUGAACUACAAUGCACUGAAUUAUUAGUUAGAAAUACUUUUUUAAGGUCAAUUUGUAUUGCCUUGUAACAGGAAUUUCACUAAUGAAUUUUUAUUUUUUCCAAGGGACUUAGAAACCAGCAUUUAUAGAAAGAGAGAGGGAAUAUCGAUUUUUGGCUGUCUUUCCUGAAUCACUAGAUGAGGAGCUCUUUGUCAAUUCAGCAGUAUGUGACUCAAACAUUAAAUUUUAGUAAUCUUUUAUUAUCUUAAGUAACAAUGGUUGUUAUUUAUAAUGCUAAAAUUAAAUAUUCGAUGCUAAUAUUUUAUUUAUGGUUUUGAUGAGAAGUUACUGCUUAAUUAUUUCUAGUCUUAUAAAAUUACUGCAGUGUUUUAUUGUUAUAAUAUAUUCUUGUGGUAGAAAUAGAUAGCCAACCAGCAGAAGCCUUCACAAAAUUAUGUGAAUUUUUGGCUUGUUAUUCAAUUAUUAUUGGUGAAAUUUCAAUUUGGGGAAUUUAACAUUGGAUUCAUCUCAGUAUUAAAAUUCAAUUCUAGAGUUGAACACAAAUGAAAAAGAGUUGCAGACCUAGAAAAUCCUUAAACGUGGCAAAAAAUUGUUGAAGUUUCAAAUUAGGAACUCAUCUCGUAGAAAUAGCUCAAAUCAAAAGAAUUCAAUGUCUUAAGAAAUAUUCCAAAUGAGAACCUGCACAAUUUGCUUUAAUUAUUUUUAAGGUUUGUGCACAGUGCACAAGUUCAAAAGUAAAAUCAAAGAAAGAAUAAACAUGGGAAUAUAUAUAAUUGGUGUUGUUAGCUAUAUUCUCUAUCUCUGUUUCAUGAGUUAAUGACUUCAUUAGUUCCUAAUAUAAGUAUGUAAGAAGUGAAUUAGUGGCUUAAAAGUGAAUAUUUAUAAUUGAUACUAAGAUUCUUUUUUCACCAAAUAAGUAUAGAGAGUUAAUUUAUUAUUGUAAAUUUAUCUUAAUUUCUGGAAGAUUUAAGAUUCAAAAUUAAAAUUUAAAAUUUAGGAUUAAAAGUUGAUUAAUACUAAUUAAAAAAGUUGGCUCCCAUACUAACUUAAAUUUUUAGGUUUUAAUGCUCUUCCUAAUUUCUAGUAUAAGCAUUGUUUUACUUCACUAGUGUUACCCUAGGGUACUCUAAGACAAAGACAGAAAAUUCGAAUUGUCUUUUUCUUGGUAUGUUUCCUUCAAAAUAUAUGAUUAUUAUCAAUGCUUCUUACACACAGGCAAUCAAGGCAAUUGAUUAAGUUAAUUAAUAAUGUGUUUGUGGUUCAAACUCGAGCUUUUGUGUUUCUUUUCAUGCAUAACACUUCCAGUGCUAAUGCAUUAUGGAACUUUUUGUCUGGCAUUUUAUUUUUGGGGGAUCAUUUGGUGUGCUUUAUAAUCUUGGACCAUAUUUUGAUUAGUCUCAAACUUUUACAAAGAAUCAAUACAACAUCUGCUUCAGUUUGGUGCAUUUCCAUAACUCUUGAAUUGGGGAACGCUAGGGGGACUUCUCUAGUCUUUUAUGCUUUUAAGAUUAAGAAGCUCCCUACUCACUUACAUAUUGCAUCAUAUAAUGGCUUGAGGAACCUAGGGAAGACGUUGAAAUUUGAAAAUAAGGUAAUAUUAAUAAUAUGCAUCUUAUAUAUAUCAGAAGAUUAAUGAUAAUUGGCAAGUCUUUCAAUUAUUGAGACCUUGUUAUUAUCUUUGCCUAAGUGUUCUGAUUUCUUUACUUUCAGCUGAAUUAUGAUUAACACAUGACCAUGACUCAAAAUCUAUUUGGUUACCCACCAAGUGUUUGCCAAAAGUCCUCUAUGAACAGAGGAAAACAAAAGUGCUUUAUUAUUAACUUCCAUCUAUUUGACUCAAAUUAUCUCCCUUAGAGUCCUCCAUGAACAGAGGAAAACAAAGGUGCUGAAGAGGAAGCCAAAAGCUAUGUUAAAAUUCCUGACCUUCUCAUUCCUUUAGAGUCCUGCCAUAGUUCAAAGAAUAAUCCUUUUUCUUUCUUUUUUUCAUUUUCCCAGAACAUGCAAAUGCAAGUUAUUGAUGAAAUGUUGCAAUCUUUUAUACCUCUCAGACCUCGCUCUAAGCCUAAGAUAGCCCUUUCCUUCUGCUAACUUAUACCCUCCAAAGUUCUCAUCCGCUCCCAAUUGCACUUGCUGUCCUACAACGGACUCUGCGUUCUGGCUGCUUUCCAGUUCCUCAGACACAUGUUCUCCUCACUUCUGCUUGGUUGGUGUUUUCCAAUUCUCUUUAAUACUGACGAUAUUUAAUUUUCCUUUUCAUGAUUCCAUUUCUUCAGAGAGAAUAACUAUGGAAUCCAAUUUGUGUUUUAUUUUAUCUAUGUAAACUUACAAAUUGCCUUCGCAUUUCUGGUAGCUGCCCUGUUUUUGAAUGUUAAGACUGCUACAGUUACAGCAUAUAUAGUUGUCUUUGGAACUAGACUGGUAGCUGCAUUUCUUUUCCCAGAUUUGAUGAAGAAUGAUCUAUUUUCAAAUUUAGCAUAUGGGACAAAUCAAGCAUGGAUAUAAAAUAUGCAAGUAGAUUGACAUCUUUUUGAUAAAUAUUAAUUACUAUUUUGUUAUGACAAUUAUUGUUAGACAAGAAUUUUAUUAUUUUGUUGAGAAUUAUUGAUGAACAUGUAUUUAAAAUACUAAUUGAACUUUUUAAUAUC